rnacentral:rRNA from 1 species
AUUGAACGCUGGCGGCAGGCCUAACACAUGCAAGUCGAACGAGUGGCGGAGGGGUGAAUAAUGUCUGGAAAAGUGCGUGGGGGAGGGGGAUCACCACUGGACAGGGUAGCAAAUACCGUAUACCACGGGGUGUGCCCAGAUGGGAUUAGCUAGUGGGUGGGGUAAAGGCACACCUAGGCGACGCUCCCUAGCUGGUCUGAGAGGAUGACCAGCCACACUGGAACUGAGACACGGUCCAGACUCCUACGGGAGGCAGCAGUGGGGAAUAUUGCACAAUGGGUGCAAGCCUGAUGCAGCCAUGCCGCGUGUGUGAAGAAGGCCUUCGGGUUGUAAAGUACUUUCAGCGGGGAGGCGUUACCCGCAGAAGAAGCACCGGCUAACUCCGUGCCAGCAGCCGCGGUAAUUC